CUCUCAGACUCCAAAAAUCAGAGAAACAUUUCCCUCAUGUCUUUUCCUCUCUCACGCCUCAUCAGCACCACCAUCAUCAUCAUCAUCACCAAUAAACCAAUCUUUUCCCUAACACCAAAUCCAACAUUGCAAUUAGUAUGCUAGAUGUUCGAGGAACGCAAUGAGCAACGAUUACCACCUUCAUCUACUUCUCUCUGCCUCUCGUAUCCUCUCACUCUCUCAACUCUAAUUUCACUCUCAAUUCUUAGUUGCAUGUGUUGUUCAUCCAAUCAUAAGGAUAUGGACCAUUGGAAUUCUAAGCACUUGUGAGGAAUUAAGGACAGUUGUUGGAACAAGGAAACAAGAACAUUGGAAAUAUUUAUGGAAAUUCGUAUGCUGGAUGUAUCCUCACUAAAAUGCCUAGUGAGAUUUAAUGGAGAAAUGAGGUCUCUGCAAAUUUUUGAAGUGAAAGGUUCAACACAGAAUUUAUGCAGAAAGUGUUUGGGAUUGGGCUGCACUCAAACGGUAAAUUAUUUCUCUCUGUAACUCCGUUUGGAUUUAUUCUGAUUGCUAUGGAAAGCUAACUCAAAUACGGUCGUUAUGGUCCCGGUUUCAUAAUUUUCAUAAUUUAUGGACGAGAAUUGUGGCCAGUGGGCAUUUUUGAAGUUGGAACUCUGAUGCUGAAGUUAUGCAGAAAAAUCUGCAAACGAGUUUGAAGUAGUUUCGUUGCAAAUUCCGCUUUUCGACGAGUUUCGGAAAUGUCGGUGGUACUGUUCAAGCGUCAAUUUCAGAUAAACAGGUUGAUUGAGAUAUUAUGGUCUGCAAGCUUGGAGUUCAGAUACUUGGAUUAUGCUAGUUGAGCUGACAUCAUGUUAUCUUAUAUUUUGUAUAAGAUUUAGUUUCUUGUUUUUAGUUGUUAGCUCAAUUUAGUAUUAAUCUCUUGGAUUUUGUAAUCCUAUUUAUGUAUUCAGACGAUAUGUAAAGAAAAAUUAAUGGUUCCGAUUCAGUUAUGUACUCCUUUGUCAAUAUUCUAGAUAAAUUGACAUGGGGUGUUAUAAUUGGUAUCAGAGCAGGUCGAUUCAGUAUCGGACCUUGCCGCGGAUCAUUAAAAUUCAAUUCAAAGUAGUACGGACCCUUUGGAGUCUGGACUGUUUACGCUGAAACCAUCGCGUACUGAGCCUGAUCAACUUAGUGUCGUGCAUGGUAGACAGGGUAUUACAGUUGAGAACCGAAGUGGACCAAGAAUGUCAAGCAGUAAGAGCGCAGUAGGAGCGCAAACAUAGAAGGAUGUAUGAGUGAAGAUCGUUGGAAGCGGAUGUCGGAGCUGUAACAGUCGUUGCCACAGGAGUAAGUAACGUAACACCUACAAGUGGCGAGCAGAGUUUGGGAAUAGUAUGUAGCGUAAUACCAGUAGUAAGGGGCAUGUUAGGAGAUGCACGAAUCGGACGCGCUCAACUUGCGGUAGUAUUCUGGGAAUGGAAAACCCAGUAUAAAAGUAAACUUUGACCGGAUGGAACCCAGACUGAGUAUUGAAGUACGAUAACCGGAUAAUUGUAGUAAGUUUGAUGGGUGCAUUAAUACAGAUGAUGGAAUUGUGAGAACGACCCGCAAUGUAGAUUGAAGUGUGGUACACCAGUAAUAUCUAACUGGCACGUAUGUGUUAUGUGAACCUAGAAGUAAUCACUCACUCUUGUGAACCUAAUUACCGGAAGCAUGUUACCUCAAAUAAGACUUAACAGGAGUCAGUGAACCCAACACUUUUUCGAAUUUGUUUAACCUUCUUUUCAGCCCAGUAGCUUUCCCUAGUGGCGUAGGUCAAUUAAAUACACUAUUGGAGAAAGACAAACUAGACUUCAUGCAUUCCCUUAAUUCCUAAUGUCAGCCUGUUGUACCAUUCUAUAGAACAAGAACACUAGACGCCCCAAUAAGAUAAGUUCAGCCUUUCAGUUCGUAACUAGUACUCAAGCCAGAUCAGUAGCAGCCAAGUCUCGUAUAGAAUAACAAUGGGAAUUUAAUUCUAAUGCUAUCAGUCACCUAAGGCGACAUAUUAAAUGUCAUUAUCAUUUGAUUCAGGAACAAGUAACAUAGUUCAGUACUAACUUCAACAAGUCGCCAAAUACUUUUCCGUAUUCAAACCUCUCAGCUAAAAACCCAACAUAUUCAGUCAAAUCUUUUGUGAGAGUUUAUCAGCUAAGUGCUAAUGAGAAUCAGGUCUGUUCCAAUUCAAGAGAAUUGUCAUUGGAAGGAAAUCAUGAAGUAUGAACAUAAUCCGGCCGAAUCAGGAUCUUUAGUCACCUACCUUUUGCGUGAACUCUAAUUCAGCUAAAUUCAUCGAAUCGAUGCGAUGCACGAUUCAUAGUCAGUAAGCCUCAUUAUGUUAUGAACAUUAAGUUCCACGAACCUAUCUAAUUUUAGUAGAGAGAUAAAUCAUUUCGGUGCUUUGAGACCCGACACUUACAUUUAGUGUAAGAACUCAAUUGAGUUGCGAACCUUUCUAGUUCCUCAAUAUCAGCGAAUCAUAUUCAAAUUUAGAGUGUUAUCCUUAUGUA